AUGUACCACUCGGACACUCCGGUUCUGAGCGCGUCGUCCACACCCGCCUGAUGACUGCUCGCUACGUGUUGUUAGCC
rnacentral:sRNA from 1 species